rnacentral:rRNA from 1 species
UUUAUAUUUAUUUAUUUAUUUAUUAUAUUUAUUAUAUUUAAAUAAAAUAUAUAAAUUAUUAAAAAUAGUUAUAAAAUUUUAUAUUUUUAGUAUUAAUUUAAGAAAAAAUAAAUUUAAUUAUAGUUUAUUAGUAUUGAAAAAGAAAAUUGAAAUAAUAUGAAAAAUUUUAAUUGAUAAAGAAAAAUUAAAUUUUUGUACCUUGUGUAUCAGGGUUUAUUAAAUAAAUUUUAAUUAAUUAAAUUUCUCGAUUUUAAAAGAUUUAAUAUAUUAUGAAAGUUAAAGUAAUAAAUUUAUUUUUAAUAGUAUAUUUGAAAUGAAAUGUUUUUCGUUUUUAAAGGUAUCUAGUUUAUUAAGAAAUAAAUUUAAUUUAGAAAUUUUAUAUUAUUAAUUUAAUUAAUAAAAUUAAUAAAUAUUUAGUUUUAAUAUUUUAUGGGAUAAGCUAUAAAGUAAAUAAUUAAAAAUAUUUAUUUAUAUAAUAAAAAUAUAGGGUUAAAAUUAUUCAUUAUUAGAUAAAAUGUAAUAAUUAAUUAUAAAUAAAUAAAUAAAAAUUUUUUAUAAUUUUAAUUUUUUAUUAAUAUAUAGUUUUUAAUUAAAUAAAGUUAAAAAUAAUGAUAAAAUUAGUAUAAAAUAAUUUAAUAAUAAAAUAAAUUGUUAGAUUUAAGUAAAGAAUUAGGCAAAAAUUUAUAUUCACCUGUUUAACAAAAACAUCUCUUUAUGAUAAAAAUAUAAAGUUUAACCUGCCCACUGAAUAUUUAAAUGGCUGCAGUAUAUUGACUGUACAAAGGUAGCAUAAUCAUUAGUUUUUUAAUUGAAAACUGGAAUGAAUGGUUGGAUGAAAUAUAAACUGUUUUAUAUAAAAUAUAUUAGAAUUUUAUUUUUUAGUAAAAAAGCUAAAAUGAAUUUAAAAGACGAGAAGACCCUAUAAAUCUUUAUAUAAUAAUUUAAAAAUUAAUUAUUUAGAAGAUUUAGUUAUUUUAAAUUAUUAUAUUUUGUUGGGGAGAUAAUAAAAUUUAAUGAACUUUUAUUUGUAAUAUCAUUGAUUUAUGUUUUUUAGAUUAAUUAUUAAUGCAUAAUAAAAUAAGUUACUUUAGGGAUAACAGCGUAAUUAUUUUGGAGAGUUCAUAUUGAUAAAAUAGA